rnacentral:lncRNA from 1 species
CCCCAAUCCCUCCUCUUACAGUUCUAACGAUUUCUGACGCGAGAUUCAUCUCCUCUCUCACCCGCUCAAAUUGGAUAAAUCUCACAAAUUGGAAGGUUCUAGAGCAGAUUCUCUACAUGAGUGUGAGCAUUGGAUUGAUUUCGUUCAAUCCAAGCCCCACAUUCAUCGGGGGUUCAUUUUCAAAUAGGACCGGUUCCAAUUUUGAGAAAAAGGAGAAAUUUUUUUGGAGAGAAUAGAGAGGUUUUUUUUGAAAAGGAACUGAAGAUAGUAUUUUCAAUUUAUUUGGUUCUUAUUUCUGAUACUGGAACAACACAAAAUCACUAAGGGCGCUAUUAUUUUAUUUUUCUGGCCGAUUACUAUUGUUUAGAGUUUUCGUCUUUGAGACCUUUAAAACUCAUCUUUUCGUUGUAAUUCUAGUUUUUUGGUUUGAAAAUGGAAAUCAUUUGAAGUCAAAUCGAUUGCUGCUCGAGAAUUAACUUUCAGAUGUUGUUUGUUUUUUGUUCAAUCUCAGUUCUGGACUAGUUCGGUGUUUCGAUUUCAGGUUCUUUGGCUGACUCUUCCUCUUAUUUUACUCUUUGGUGUUAUUAAAGUAUGAGGAUGGCUUAGGAUAAGUAAAUAAGAUUGGUUUGAAUUUCUGAAAUGUUGAAAUUCGAGUGUUAAAUAAAGCACAUUGUUGGUUUUGGGUUGAUGACGAGUCUGAAUGAAUUCUCCCUGAUGCUCAAAUAUGUUUUGUUCUUUAAUUGUUCUUAUGUUUAGAUGUCAUACAAUCCUAGAUUUGUCUGAUUUAGAUAGGCUUGAUUGAAUUCAAAUAUGGCCUAUGAGUUUAUGGUUUAUUGAAGUAUGCCCUGUUAUUGCUGAAAGAAGCUCGACUAGUUCCUCUAAUGUUUUCUGCAUAGUUUUCCUGCUAGUAUUGGUUGAUUUGCGCUGGUUCAAGCAGCAUAUGCAUAUCUUUAGGAUUAAAUGAAUCUGUGAGCUCAUAUUGAGGUUUCUAUUUUUAUAUUUUAACUAGUGUGAUGGUCGUUAUUGGAUUAAUGUAACCAGCAUAUAUGCAUAUAGAGGUUAGUGAGUAGUAGCUUAUAACACUCUGUUUGUGAUCCUCUUUGAAAACUUGAGGUUUAUUUCCCUUAAUUUGUCGUCUGGUUCUGAGAAAGUGUUCGGUGAAACAAAAAUUGAUCUUCUGAAGGGUGGGAAAGAGUAUUAGAUUCACUGUUUUAAAUAAUCACAUGGUGUAUUUUGGGACGCGUAUUUCAGCGAUUAUGUAUAUGCAC